UACAGAGGUCCCAAGCGUUGUUCGGAUUCAUUGGGCGUAAAGGGCUCGUAGGUGGCCAACUAAGUCAGACGUGAAAUCCCUCGGCUUAACCGGGGAACUGCGUCUGAUACUGGUUGGCUUGAAUCCGGGAGAGGGAUGUGGAAUUCCAGGUGUAGCGGUGAAAUGCGUAGAUAUCUGGAGGAACACCGGUGGCGAAGGCGGCAUCCUGGACCGGUAUUGACGCUGAGGAGCGAAAGCCAGGGGAGCAAACGGG
rnacentral:rRNA from 1 species